CCUGCUCAAUGCUAAUAAAUAGCCGCUAAAAGUGCUAAGGUAGCAUAAUAAUUUGCUUUUCAAUUAAAAGAUAGAAUGAAAGGAAAAACGAUUUAUUAACUAUUUUUACCCAACACACAUAAAUUAACUUAACACGUAAAAAUUCAGUUAUACCCCAGCAGGACGACAAGACCCUACUGAACUUCACUUAAAGUUAUGCUGGGACGGCAAAAAACUAAAUCUUCCCUCUCUCCCAAUGAAAGCACACUACUGAAUAAAAUUAAGUUACCAUAGGGAUAACAGCAUAAUAAUUUUUUAAAGCCCCCAUAACAAAAAUUGUUUAUGACCUCGAUGUUGAAUUAAUACACUUCUUACAGAAAAAAGUAAACAAGAGAGUCUGUUCGACUCACCAAUAUUACAU
rnacentral:rRNA from 1 species